rnacentral:lncRNA from 1 species
GGUGAGCCCUGCUGACAUUACGGCUCUUCUCAUCAUCAUUGAAACCAGCCGAAGGAAAGCUCAGGCACAGAGAAGACACGAGAUGCUGACUUCUGUCAUGACAGAAACCGAUCGUGAGGCCAGUGCCCCUUCACCAAAAACAAUAACCUUGUGAUGUGUUUGAACAGAGGAGACACGAGACGCUGACUUCUGUCAUGACAGAAACCGAUCGUGAGUCCAGUGCCGCUUCACCAAAAACAAUAACCUUGUGAUGUGUUUGAACAGAGGAGACACGAGAUGCUGACUUCUGUCAUGACAGAAACCGAUCGUGAGUCCAGUGUCCCUUCACCAAAAACAAUAACCUUGUGAUGUGUUUCUGAUUACUCAGUGGUUCAGUGCUUAUAUUCUCUGCCAGUCAGUUAUGCCAUAUAUCACACUGCCAUUUUUUUAGAGUAGUUCAACAAUAGUUGGCUAAAGACCGGGUCUUACUCUUAAUGGAGGCCUU